rnacentral:lncRNA from 1 species
AACGACCCAACUUCCCAAACAAAAGAAAUAAGAAAAUAAUGUGAUAUGAGCAGAUCAAUUAUGAAGAUUUACCCAAAAUAUUAGGUAUCUGUGUUUCGAAGAGAUUAAUAAAAUAAAGAUAAAAUAGAAUAAAUGAAUGGGCAUUGAGCGAGAUAAUCGAUUAACAACAUUCAACUUUCCAGGAGCGCAUAAGUUUAGUUCCGUGACUCUGAUCAUAAUCAACGAUGGCUUCAUUAAUUGAAAUACGAAUUAAGGGUCUAAGCUCAACGAGAUAAUAUUUUACCAUAUAAUAGAAGUUCUUAGUUUAGGAGAUUGAAAGACAAGAUAGCAAGCUAGUCGUUUAGCGGAAGCAAAAGACAGCGUGGAACCCUAGCCUCAGCUCCGUCCGCACCAACCGAUCAACCUGAAAAUAUUUGAAAAUAAUUUGGGCUGAGUACUAGUGUACUCAGUGAACAGGAGUCUGCAAGAUAUUUUAUGAAAUAAUUAAAUAGAGCAGUUUAUCCAAUAUCAUAAUCAUAACUUAGAAGGUUUUGAAAAUAGAAAUCCACUUCUAAGCAUGACAAAACAUUUUUCUCAUUAAGUGGCGCGCCAUGUGACGUUCGAUUGUUACUCGCUGCUUAUGAUCCCGGGACUUAAACCACCGUCGGAUCGCUUACCGCCGCUUAAGUGAACCCGGGACGCUACCCAGACAGAACACAUCAUCAUCUGUGCUUGGAACGUGUCCAGGAGCACCCUUAUAACGCCUGCUUAGCUUCGUUAGUGCCCAAAUGGCGAUCAACCCAUUGAGCAACUAACCUUGUGUACACAAUCCUCAUCUAACGUGUUAGGUCAAAUGAGAAUCUCGAUCGAUGCUUAUGCGAGCAUUAAACAAUACAGAACGCACAUAAAAACAUUUAUAUUGGAUAAACGAACAUUUUCAACUUUCAUGAAAUAUCAGAGCUUAUAUAACUCAAGAUACAUUUGUAAAAUAAAGCCCACCUGGAUAGGCAAAGCCCGAAGAUCAUACACAUAUAAACCUGUCUUGGGAAAAGCAGCGCUAACCCACUUGGUCACAAAGCCUACAAGAAAUUAUAUUCUUAAUAGGUCUCGAGGUAUCAUUCUAAUUUCUAAGUAAAUGGAAUCGCUAACUAUUGAUACACUUUGCCCGGUUUAAUAAUCUCCUUGAGUGAAUUCAUAAACUUUUAAUACAUAAUUAAUAACUUAAUUAAGAUAAUUAAUAAUAAAUUUAACACUUAUAAGAUAUUUAAUAUAAAAGCUAAUCUUUUAAGAAAAUUAAUAAAACUAAUUAAAAUACUAGUAGGCUCAAUUAGAAAAAUGAUUAGAGCCCAAGAAAUUAAUGCAAUAGACUUGUUCAAAUCAAAUUAGCCCAAAUAUAAUAAAACACAGCCCAUCAAAUAAAUGAAAUGAAUCAGCCACUACGAUUAAUAUAAAUUGGCCCAUUGAUUUUAAUAAGUGAGAGCCCAAAACUAAAGACCCAUUUGAAAAAAAGGACAAACUAAAACAAAGAAAUAAUAUAAACACAUCUCUCACUUUCCCACUCUUAAAAAAAUACGGCUCUUUCUCUCUCUCUCUCUCUCUCCCAAAAUCACCGCCCCUCUUCUCCCUCCAAGAUCCGCCGCCGCCUGCUCCUACCCCGGCGAUGUUCGCCGACUCCGAUGUCUUCCCCCCACUCGUCGCCUUCCCUAUCUCACCACCCUCUCUCUUAACCAGUCACGCCGCCACCCCUCUUCCCGAUGAGAUCGUCGCCGGCCACCACCCUUCCCUUGCUCGUCAACCUCCCUCUCUCACCAUCCUCCCAUCUGCCUCCCCCAUUCUCGCGCCCGUGUCCGAAGGCAGACGGCCAUGGAGGAAACGCCACCGCCGCCGCUCGCCUGCCUCGGCCGAGUUCAGCGGCGUCGGGUGCCGCCUUGCACCGUCCUGCCUCAAACCGCGCCGCCUGGCCUGCCUUCACCGUGAGCAGCCACGGGCUGCCACCACCCAUGCGGCGCCGGUCGCCGCAUCAUUGUCAGCCCGGCAUCGGGCCUCCGACAACCUCCCCCUCUUCUCUUCACUCAUUCCCAAACCAAAACAGCAAAAUGAAAUUCUCAGAUUUGUAAAGAUUUGAUUUUUGGUGCAUUGGUCAAGGUAUUUCUUUAAUAGAAACAGUUGGGUAUUUGGAUUUCGUAAGUUAAUCUUUUGUGAAAAUCAUGUUGGUGAUGUUUCCGUAAGGAAAAAUAAGAACCAAACAGAAGAAAAUAGUUGCUGUAUUAAAAUGAAAAUACAUAGAUUUACAGAGAUAAUUGGGGUUACCAGCUGGAAUUCAUGUUGAUUGCUUCCUACCGCAGCCUGAGGAAGUGACUCUUGCGGUGGAAUAGUGUAAGAAAAGUUGAGGUAAUUUAUGAAGGUGGAUGGAUUGACGUGGUUGAAACAACGCCAAAGCUUUUGGGAAAAGAAUGUCAAAUUUGUGAAAAAUAUCUUGUACAGUUAGACUUGGAGAGAAAGGAAAAUAUUACAGUUCUCACAGACACACACACGCAUGUUUCAGCUUCCCACACUGAUCUCCAAAUUUUGGGCCAACAUUGAUCUCACCAAAUUUUGGGUUGGAGGCCCAAGAAAAAUUAAUAACUCACAGAUAAAUAUUAUUGGGCUUGAGGCCCAAUAAAAUAAAUAAAUAGACAAAUAACUAAAUAGAAUGGAAAAAAAAAAAAAAAAAAAUAAAUGAAUACUUGUGAAAAUAUUUUUCAUAUACCUUAAUAACGGGCUCAAGACAUUUGAUCAAUAAAAUAAUAGUAAUGAACUUCAAUUUAUAAAAUCUCUUUAAAAUAGUAUAAUUUAUUAAAUACCGGGCGUGUAUCAAUAGUAUUCUAAUUUUAAAGGUCUUCAAUAUUUCCUAUGA